rnacentral:tRNA from 1 species
GCGACCGUGGUGGAAUUGGUAUACACAGCAGACUUAAAAUCUGCCGACUUCGGUCAUACGGGUUCAAGUCCCGUCGGUCGCACCA